GCUCUGAUCUCCAUUUGCCUCAUGCCGGCAGUGUCUACCUCUGCAAGUGGCUGUGACGAUGGGGACCCUGCCCUCCACUUCCCACAGCACCAGUCAAGACCUAGGGAUACAUUGAGAAUUCCUCAGGACUCAGGAGGGCACAGAAGAUCAGGCCUGACGCCAAAAGCUGGCCUUCCAUGAGCAGAGUGAAUUUACCACAGUGGUGGCACCAACUGGAACAAUGUAUGGCACCAAGUCUUCACUCCAAGGACUUAGAAAUGGGACUUUAUUUAGACAUAGGGUGUUUGCAGAUUUAAUCCAGAACUUGACGUGGGAGCCUUAAACUCAUACUAGAGUUGUUAUAAGAGAAAAUAAAGACAAAUUUCAAGUACUCACCUACUGGGGUCAGCAAUGAGAUCUCCUUGAAGGGCUCAGCAGCUUCCCAAGAUAAAGAAAUGGAGAAGUCCUUGGUGAAACUGCAACUCUGAACGAGAGAAUCCUGAGCAGGUCCUGGGUAGACAACAAGCCUACAGGAGCCGCAGUAAAGGCUCAUGGUCCUGAAGUAGUCAAGCUCAUUAACACGGCUUUAAAGGAAGAUGUUCAAAGGCACUGGGCCGAGUUUUGACUUUUAGAUGAAUUCUCUGUCCAAUCUGCUGUGAAAUGGGAUUUGGCCACAAAGCCCCAAGAGAUGGGACCUGGCCAAGCGAUGCCCAAUCACCCAGAUUUUCUCCAGCUGUUUAAGGUUUGGGCUUUUUAUCCCUUUGUGUACUUUUAAUCUGCCCUCUUCUGAGGAAAUUCAAGGAGACCUUGCAUGGAAUGAUGUACUGCUAUCAGGAGCAUGUUGCCAGGGUGGACUCAGCUUCCUCCCGACUCCCAGGUAAUCACUGGCUUUUCAUCUGGUUUCAGUGGCGAUGCACUUGAACUCUGCUGAGUUUCCAAAGGAACUCUUCCAAAGAGAAUCGCCAGGGGUGGGACUUGUGAGAGACACACCCCUCCUGGCCAGUAAAGGAGGGGAAGGAGAAAGGACAGCACAUUCUCCCUCUCCCAGGGUUUAUUUUCUGCUAUGAUGGUUCUUUCUAAAGCUGGUCUGUGGAAAUCACAGAGAAAAAAAAACAGUCGAUUUCUUCCCAUCAGAAACUCCCAUCAGCAUCCAGACCUGCAGAUGAAGGGAGUCGGAUGCUAUUCUUGCCUGCAUGCCACCAUAGGAAGUAACGGGCCAUCGAGCUUGGGCUGUCUUGUUGAGAUCAGUUGGCUCUGUGAGGGACGAGCGUAUCUGGGUUUUCAUCUUAAUGAAAAGCAGGGAUGACUGCUUUGAAACGCUCCACUUGAUCCCCAACCUUUCCAGUUUGACAGCUGGCGCACUCUCCACAUCUUUGUGGCGCCUGUCUCAUUACAGAACCUCCCAAAUGCAUGCUCCCCAUGGCUUUUCCAUUUCUUGGGCCUCACGGUUGAUGUUUAUUCUCUGGCCCAAUGGUGUUAGCACUGUGUGUAGCAUCCCAAAGAGGAAUUGGAAUGCUGCCCAGGUACCAGCUCCAUGGCAAGAGCUACAUCCCUUCUCAGUCACCAAGCUGGACACCCAAACUCUCUUGCCCAUAUAUGUUUCCAUAAAAGAGCUUAAUAGGGUUCCUUGGCUCUGGGAUUCAUAGCAACAAUGAAAGAAUUAAUUGAAAAUGAAGAGUGUCCUUUGGAAUUAAAAUGAUAAUGAACUUA